rnacentral:rRNA from 1 species
GACGAACGCUGGCGGCGUGCUUAACACAUGCAAGUCGAACGAAGAGCGAUGGAAGCUUGCUUCUCUCAAUCUUAGUGGCGAACGGGUGAGUAACGCGUAAUCAACCUGCCCUUCAGAGGGGGACAACAGUUGGAAACGACUGCUAAUACCGCAUACGAUCUAAUCUCGGCAUCGAGGAUAGAUGAAAGGUGGCCUCUACAUGUAAGCUAUCACUGAAGGAGGGGAUUGCGUCUGAUUAGCUAGUUGGAGGGGUAACGGCCCAACAAGGCGAUGAUCAGUAGCCGGUCUGAGAGGAUGAACGGCCACAUUGGGACGGAGACACGGCCCAGACUCCUACGGGAGGCAGCAGUGGGGAAUCUUCCGCAAUGGACGAAAGUCUGACGGAGCAACGCCGCGUGAGUGAUGACGGCCUUCGGGUUGUAAAGCUCUGUUAAUCGGGACGAAAGGCCUUCUUGCGAAUAGGGAGAAGGAUUGACGGUACCGGAAGAGAAAGCCACGGCUAACUACGUG